GAAGGCACUGUGGGAUUUAGAA
rnacentral:miRNA from 1 species